ensembl:lncRNA
UUUAGGGGCGGCAGGGUAGCCUAGUGGUUAGAGUGUAGAGGCGGCAGGGUAGCCUAGUGGUUAGAGUGUAGAGGAGGCAGGGUAGCCUAGUGGUUAGAGUGUAGAGGCGGCAGGGUAGCCUAUUGGUUAGAGUGUAGAGGCGGCAGGGUAGCUUAGUGGUUAGAGUGUAGAGGCGGUAGGGUAGCCUAGUGGUUAGAGUGUAGAGGCGGCAGGGUAGCCUAGUGGUUAGAGUGUAGAGGCGGCAGGGUAGCCUAGUGGUUAGAGUGUAGAGGAGGCAGGGUAGCCUAGUGGUUAGAGUGUAGAGGCGGCAGGGUAGCUUAGUGGUUAGAGUGUAGAGGAGGCAGGGUAGCCUAGUGGUUAGAGUGUAGAGGCGGCAGGGUAGCCUAGUGGUUAGAGUGUAGAGGCGGCAGGUAGCCUAGUGGUUAGAGUGUAGAGGUGGCAGGGUAGCCUAGUGGUUAGAGUGUAGAGGCGGCAGGGUAGCCUAGUGGUUAGAGUGUAGAGGCGGCAGGGUAGCCUAGUGGUUAGAGUGUAGAGGAGGCAGGGUAGCCUAGUGGUUAGAGUGUAGAGGAGGCAGGGUAGCCUAGUGGUUAGAGCGUAGAGGCGGCAGGUAGCCUAGUGGUUAGAGUGUAGAGGUGGCAGGGUAGCCUAGUGGUUAGAGUGUAGAGGCGGC